UUGACGUUUGUUGACUAAGCGGCCUUCUUCUUGCUGGGUGUCUUGCUCUGCAACUGCUCGAUUUCAGCCUCUAUCUUCCCUUCCACGCUUCGGUUGAACCCUGCGUAUGGCUCGUACCCGCAGGUUGUCUGCAGAACCUGCAACAGUACGAAGAAAGGAGCCAUCACGAAUGCUUGCGCCAUGUUGUUCGAGGGGGCUCGUUUCUGCAGACCGUUUCGAUGAGACGAACGCAAUUUGCAGAUAAUGAACAAGAAGGCAGAUUCUAUACUAAGUGUACCAACUCACCUCAAACACUCCGUGACCGAUGGACUGACCGGCCCAGCAUAUCACUUGCGACGCCAGAAAGAACUGCACUCAAGACGGAGUUUCCUGAGUAUUGACCACAAGGAAUCGAGCAAGUAAAGCAAAAAGGAGAAAAGAGAAGCAUCACAGACCUUCCAUGCCAGAGAGAAGCCGAGCUGCUGUGCGAGCAGGCUCGAGCCGACCCAACAGGCCAAGCAGAGCAGAGCGGCCAGAGAGCCGGCUUUCCAGUCCAGGCACACGUAGGUGACGGCGUAGAGCAGGGCGAGGAAGAAGCCGAAGUUGAGGAGCAGGCCGUGGCUGGUCAGGAAGCACUUGGGGGGGACGCUGAAGAAGAGGCUGCAGAUGGGAGGGGUGAAGUAGAAGAGGACGAGGAAGGAGAAGAAGAGCGGCCACACGAAGAGGGUGUGCAUCAGGACGUUGACCCGGUGGCGGUGGUACGCGCCGUAGAACGCGUAGUGCUUCUCUAGAUCGAACAUGCCCUUGAACCCCAUGGAAGCAAACUCUUCUCUGCUCUUCUUCUUGUUCUGGUUUUUGGAGAGAUUGAUGAUCGGGGGUGUGCGAAUAUUGGUGUGCAAAAGAAGGAGAAAGUGUGCGCGUGCGUGCGUGUUAGAAAGCAAAAGAGGAAGACAGAGGGGAGGCGGUGGAUUGCAUGCAAAACCAGAGACCAAAGGAACCGCAGAUUCGAAGAUGAAAAGCUUUGCCAAGGCUGGCCGCUUUUUAUAGCGGCUAUCUACUGGUCGCUUUAGAAAUAUUUUACGGCCAUCGUCCACGGAUUUGAUCACAAAAUAGAAAUUGCAUUGGUACGAGCCCCACAAAUUUUCGAAAUGUGACCGGUUUAUUCUAUUUAACUUAGUCAACGGUUGCUUA